rnacentral:rRNA from 1 species
UACGUAGGGGGCAAGCGUUUGUCCGGAAUUAUUGGGCGUAAAGAGCGCGUAGGCGGUCCGAUAAGUCGGCUGUGAAAGUCCAGGGCUCAACCCUGGAAAGCCGGCCGAUACUGUCGGACUAGAGUCCGGAAGAGGCAAGUGGAAUUCCCGGUGUAGCGGUGAAAUGCGCAGAGUAUCGGGAGGAACACCUAUGGCGAAGGCAGCUCGCUGGGACGUUACUGACGCUGAGACGCGAAAGCGUGGGGAGCAAACAGG